rnacentral:rRNA from 1 species
GACGAACGCUGGCGGCGUGCUUAACACAUGCAAGUCGAGCGGAAAGGCCCUUCGGGGUACUCGAGCGGCGAACGGGUGAGUAACACGUGAGUAACCUGCCCCAGACUUUGGGAUAACCCUCGGAAACGGGGGCUAAUACCGGAUACGACACAGCUUCGCAUGGGGUCUGUGUGGAAAGUUUUUCGGUUUGGGAUGGGCUCGCGGCCUAUCAGCUUGUUGGUGGGGUGAUGGCCUACCAAGGCGACGACGGGUAACCGGCCUGAGAGGGCGACCGGCCACACUGGGACUGAGACACGGCCCAGACUCCUACGGGAGGCAGCAGUGGGGAAUAUUGCACAAUGGGCGGAAGCCUGAUGCAGCGACGCCGCGUGAGGGAUGACGGCCUUCGGGUUGUAAACCUCUUUCAGCAGGGACGAAGCGUAAGUGACGGUACCUGCAGAAGAAGCGCCGGCCAACUACGUG